rnacentral:rRNA from 1 species
UUAAGUGAAUAAGGGCGCACGGUGGAUGCCUUGGCACUAGGAGCCGAUGAAGGACGGGACUAACACCGAUAUGCUUUGGGGAGCUGUACGUAAGCUAUGAUCCAGAGAUUUCCGAAUGGGGAAACCCAACAUCUUUUAUAGGAUGUUACGUUUGCGUGAAUACAUAGCGCAUUCGAGGUAGACGCAGAGAACUGAAACAUCUAAGUACCUGCAGGAAGAGAAAGAAAAUUCGAUUCCCUGAGUAGCGGCGAGCGAAACGGGAAAAGCCCAAACCAAUGAGCUUGCUCAUUGGGGUUGUAGGACUCCAAUAUGGUAGUUCUUUCAGAUAAUCGAAUGACUUGGAAAAGUCAGUCAAAGAGGGUAAAAACCCCGUAGAUGAAAUUUGGAAGGCACCUAGGAGGAUCCUGAGUACGGCGGAACACGAGGAAUUCCGUCGGAAUCCGGGAGGACCAUCUCCCAAGGCUAAAUACUCCCUAGUGACCGAUAGUGAACCAGUACCGUGAGGGAAAGGUGAAAAGCACCCCGGAAGGGGAGUGAAAUAGAACCUGAAACCGUGUGCCUACAACAAGUCAAAGCCCGUUAAUGGGUGAUGGCGUGCCUUUUGUAGAAUGAACCGGCGAGUUACGAUUGCAUGCGAGGUUAAGUCGAAGAGACGGAGCCGCAGCGAAAGCGAGUCUGAAUAGGGCGUUUGAGUAUGUAGUCGUAGACCCGAAACCAUGUGAUCUACCCAUGUCCAGGUUGAAGGUGCGGUAAAACGCACUGGAGGACCGAACCCACGUACGUUGAAAAGUGCGGGGAUGAGGUGUGGGUAGCGGAGAAAUUCCAAACGAACUUGGAGAUAGCUGGUUCUCUCCGAAAUAGCUUUAGGGCUAGCCUCGGAUUUGAGAAUGAUGGAGGUAGAGCACUGUUUGGACUAGGGGCCCAUCUCGGGUUACCGAAUUCAGAUAAACUCCGAAUGCCAUUCAUUCAUAUCCGGGAGUCAGACUGUGAGUGAUAAGAUCCAUAGUCGAAAGGGAAACAGCCCAGACCACCAGCUAAGGUCCCAAAAUAUAUGUUAAGUGGAAAAGGAUGUGGGGUUGCACAGACAACUAGGAUGUUGGCUCAGAAGCAGCCACCAUUUAAAGAGUGCGUAAUAGCUCACUAGUCGAGUGACCCUGCGCCGAAAAUGUACCGGGGCUAAACAUAUUACCGAAGCUGUGGAGUACACCAUUAGGUGUAUUGGUAGGAGAGCGUUCUAAGGGCGUUGAAGGCAGAUCGUGAGGACUGCUGGAGCGCUUAGAAGUGAGAAUGCCGGUAUGAGUAGCGAAAGACAGGUGAGAAUCCUGUCCACCGAAUGACUAAGGUUUCCUGGGGAAGGCUCGUCCGCCCAGGGUUAGUCGGGACCUAAGCCGAGGCCGACAGGCGUAGGCGAUGGACAACAGGUUGAUAUUCCUGUACUCGUUGUUUUUGUUUGAGCAAUGGAGGGACGCAGGAGGCUAAGGAAUGCAGACGAUUGGAAAUGUCUGUCCAAGCAGUAAGUCUUGAUAGGAGUCAAAUGCUUCUGUCUACACGGAUAAGCUGUGAUGGGGAGGGAAAUAAUAGUACCGAAGUUCCUGAUGUCACACUGCCAAGAAAAGCUUCUAGUGAGAAAACAAUGACCCGUACCGCAAACCGACACAGGUAGUCGAGGAGAGAAUCCUAAGGUGAGCGAGAGAACUCUCGUUAAGGAACUCGGCAAAAUGACCCCGUAACUUCGGGAGAAGGGGUGCUGAUCUUCGAUCAGCCGCAGUGAAUAGGCCCAAGCGACUGUUUAUCAAAAACACAGGUCUCUGCAAAAUCGUAAGAUGAAGUAUAGGGGCUGACGCCUGCCCGGUGCUGGAAGGUUAAGAGGAGUGCUUAGCGUAAGCGAAGGUACGAAUUGAAGCCCCAGUAAACGGCGGCCGUAACUAUAACGGUCCUAAGGUAGCGAAAUUCCUUGUCGGGUAAGUUCCGACCCGCACGAAAGGCGUAACGAUUUGGGCACUGUCUCAACGAGAGACUCGGUGAAAUUUUAGUACCUGUGAAGAUGCAGGUUACCCGCGACAGGACGGAAAGACCCCAUGGAGCUUUACUGUAGUUUGAUAUUGAGUGUCUGUACCGCAUGUACAGGAUAGGUAGGAGCCGUAGAAAUCGGAACGCUAGUUUCGAUGGAGGCGCUGGUGGGAUACUACCCCUGCGUUAUGGCCACUCUAACCCGCACCACUGAUCGUGGUGGGAGACAGUGUCAGAUGGGCAGUUUGACUGGGGCGGUCGCCUCCUAAAAGGUAACGGAGGGGCCCAAAGGUUCCCUCAGAAUGGUUGGAAAUCAUUCGAAGAGUGUAAAGGCAGAAGGGAGCUUGACUGCGAGACCAACAAGUCGAGCAGGGACGAAAGUCGGGCUUAGUGAUCCGGUGGUUCCGCAUGGAAGGGCCAUCGCUCAACGGAUAAAAGCUACCCUGGGGAUAACAGGCUUAUCUCCCCCAAGAGUCCACAUCGACGGGGAGGUUUGGCACCUCGAUGUCGGCUCGUCGCAUCCUGGGGCUGUAGUCGGUCCCAAGGGUUGGGCUGUUCGCCCAUUAAAGCGGCACGCGAGCUGGGUUCAGAACGUCGUGAGACAGUUCGGUCCCUAUCCGUCGCGGGCGUUGGAAAUUUGAGAGGAGCUGUCCUUAGUACGAGAGGACCGGGAUGGACUUACCGCUGGUGUACCAGUUGUUCUGCCAAGGGCAUUGCUGGGUAGCUAUGUAGGGAAGGGAUAAACGCUGAAAGCAUCUAAGUGUGAAGCCCACCUCAAGAUGAGAUUUCCCAUUUCUUUAAGAAAGUAAGAUCCCUGAGAGAUGAUCGGGUAGAUAGGUCAGGAGUGGAAGGCCAGUGAUGGUUGGAGCGGACUGAUACUAAUCGAUCGAGGACUUAACCAA